ensembl:lncRNA
GAAGUAGCUCGUCUACUUUUACCUCGAUUCAGCGCUUUCGGGCUCUGUUUACAGACCCGUCUGUGAGCCCCACCUGUGUGUCCGCGUGCUGCCCACGGAGAAGGCGCUGUUGCCGGGGUCGCGGGCGUGCGCUUUUAUUUCAGGCGCCCGUCAGGAACAGCAUCGCUCAGGAGUUUACAAAUUCAGCAUUGCGUAUUUGCGUAGCGAGGGCACCUUUGCCCUUUGGUCCUGAUUUUUUAAAUACUUGAUUACAUAUUAACCGUCAGCUGUUGAUUCAGUGUUCCUUAUUUUAUCCUCCUUUGUAUACAAGUUAACUCUAAAAUGAUCCAUUAGGCAAGAAUUAACUAAAUAUACUUUGUGGUAUUCUUUCCUUUGAAUCUCUACUAACUUUAUUCAGCUGGAAAUCAUCUUGAGAAAGGAAAUAAAACACGUGGCUCGUCACACACCUGGUUCUCACUUCUCUGACGGCUGUGGGGGAGCCACAAAACUGCUGAAAACUGUGCUUCUCCAGGAUGGAUUCCCAGCAGAACCCGGGAGGAUGGCUCAGGCAAGACUCUGCUCCUGUUACAGGUUGCAUGUUGAUUAUAUGAGACACCUCUGACCAGGGGGCCGGUCUCCCCCACCUCCAGAGUCGCCACCUUGGCAGAAACCCGGGUGAGGCCCAAAGGGGUUUAACCGGGGCAAAGUUGGAGGGUCGUGGGCGCUCAAGCCAGGAACCUGGAUGGAGCCCAGGCACACGCGUGCCACUCAUCACCAAGUCGUGGGCCAGGUGGGGUCAUGGCGGAGGUGUGGACGCACUGGAAACGCACGGCCCGGGGAGAAUUUCAAGUCUUUCAGAAACAGCCUGAAGGAGCCAGAAUAAAUGCUGGCCUCCACGCUCGCUCUGCCAAUGGACGCCAACAGUGAGACAAGAAGUUCUGACUUUCUGGGCCCCGGCGGCCGUGGUGACCGUGGAAGACCACAGGCACUCAUCUGUGUCACUGUUUCCUGAGUCAAACUAAAUGCACCUGAGACUCUCAUUGUC